rnacentral:rRNA from 1 species
UACGAAGGGGGCUAGCGUUGCUCGGAAUGACUGGGCGUAAAGGGCGCGUAGGCGGCUUGUAUAGUCGGAUGUGAAAUUCCUGGGCUUAACCUGGGGGGCUGCAUACGAGACGUAUGGGCUUGAGUGCGGAAGAGGGUCGUGGAAUUCCCAGUGUAGAGGUGAAAAUGCGCAGAUAUCAGGAGGAACACCGGUGGCGAAGGCGGAUCUCUGGGCCUUACCUGACGCUGAGGCGCGAAAGCUAGGGGAGCGAACAGG